AUUGAACGCUGGCGGCAGGCUUAACACAUGCAAGUCGAGCGGAGAGAGGUAGCUUGCUACUGAUCUUAGCGGCGGACGGGUGAGUAAUGCUUAGGAAUCUGCCUAUUAGUGGGGGACAACAUUUCGAAAGGAAUGCUAAUACCGCAUACGUCCUACGGGAGAAAGCAGGGGAUCUUCGGACCUUGCGCUAAUAGAUGAGCCUAAGUCGGAUUAGCUAGUUGGUGGGGUAAAGGCCUACCAAGGCGACGAUCUGUAGCGGGUCUGAGAGGGUGAUCCGCCACACUGGGACUGAAACACGGCCCAGACUCCUACGGGAGGCAGCAGUGGGGAAUAUUGGACAAUGGGCGGAAGCCUGAUCCAGCCAUGCCGCGUGUGUGAAGAAGGCCUUAUGGUUGUAAAGCACUUUAAGCGAGGAGGAGGCUACUUUAGUUAAUACCUAGAGAUAGUGGACGUUACUCGCAGAAUAAGCACCGGCUAACUCUGUGCCAGCCGCCGCGGUAA
rnacentral:rRNA from 1 species